UGACUGAAAGGGGGGGGUGCUGCUGGGGGGGUCCCGGCUCAGGAGAGUGGGGCGCUUACAGGGCCGUGGUUUAUGUAUUGAAAACAUUGGAUUUGGUGGCACAAGGAUUGCCAACACGGUGCGUGCCGCGGCUGGAGAUGCUCUCUUAGUGCAGAUCACUGGGAAAACUGCUCUCUCACACAUUGAUCUUACGUUCAUCACACCAGGUCAUUUCUAUUUUGAAAGAACAGGAUAUGGGGAUAUGGGGUUGAUCUAUGUACCACCCAAAAUGAAAUUCUUAAACCUAUUAGUGUGCCAAACACACCAACUGUAGUGUUGUAGUGCCUAAUUAAUUAUGUGGAGCCAGACACUGAGAACACUCACGAUUGCCUAGCCGAAAUUCAUAUUUCCUCAAGCUUAAAAGUUUCGGGUCUGAAAUUUCACAAACAUUAUGAACACCCUGUUCUGCCCAAUUGGUUGAAUUUAAAGCUAUCACUACAGAGUGCAACCUGGUUAAGGGUAAAACUGCUAAUAUAUAAAUAUAUAGAUAAAUACUGACGUUUAGGCCCAUGGAUUGUGUUGUCUGUUUAGAGUUGUUUAAAUGCAAUGCGGUUUUCGAAAAACCGUUGGAACGCCACUUAUCGAGCAAAUAGUUUAAUUGAAUUCUGAUUCUGACUGCACUUCUCACUGUAUGUAUUACAGAUACCCAUGAGUUUUAGCCAGUGUGGGAGGGGGAAGGUAGAGGAGUGAUCUCUUACUUGCAGGCAACGGUGUGAUAUUUUAAAAAAAUUUUCUUGACCAGGGAUAGGUCCUAGAUCUGGCAUACCAUCUCAAGUUACCGUAAUUUGUGCUGAUACUAAACGUAUUUCGGUAGAUGCUCUACCUCUUGCACUAAUGACCUAUUGUUAUUAGGUCACUGCAUGCGGACUAACAGCAAUAUGUAAUUAACACAGCAUGAAAUGCUUACGGGUAGACCCAUGUCUGUGUCUGUUCCUCAUGAUGGACUGCCACUGGAGUAAUUGCAGAUGAAUCAAAAACAUAUAUGAGACCACUAACUAUUAUGUAUGAAGCUAUCUAUUCACAGGAAAAGAGCUGGGUGCAUUGUUAUGGGUGAGGCGUUACCGCCUCAACGGGGGGAGGUGUUCACCCGGAGGUGGGAGACCCGGCGCAGCGAGAGAAUGUUGACUACAAGGCAGCAGCGGACUACAAGAACGUGCGACCCCUGGAGGAUGCUACUCCAAUGACGAGAUGGUGGGGAACACGUGAAGGUCCGGUACGAAGCUGCUGUGUACGAAGCUGCCGUCAAUGGGGGGUCUGCUAUCGUAGAACUCUCAAGUCAGUGGCAGACAGGGUUCGUCCGACCCUCCUCCUGGAUUAUCCUCGCUUUCUAUUGGCUAGUCAGCGCUCUACACCUACGUGUGACUGGCCCCUGCGUGGCAGGAAGCUGCCUUAAUCACGAUGAACCCAGGCUACGCAGGCAGGACUGAGCUCCGGGACAACCUGGAGGCCGCUUCAAUCCAAGUUACUCAAGGAUGACGCAGAACUUAAAAUAAAAUAAACUGAUAAAUAGUAAAGAACACCAAAGUUUACAUUUACUCCAAAUAUUUCUUUACUAUCAAAGGUCAUUAUCACAGGAUCCCUGGAAUCAGGCACUAGGAGGAAAUUCCAGGACAAAUUAGGAAAUAGAAUUAACUGACAUUUGCAAAUUCUUUGCAACU